ensembl:snoRNA SNORA70 Small nucleolar RNA SNORA70
CUGCAGCCCAUUAAGUCAAUGGGGCUCCUUUCCUUGUGGGGGCCCAGUGUUUGCAAUGGCUGCAAACAGCAGCCUCCUUGGUCAUAUAUGCAGCUGCUGCUUGGAUGGCUGGCCUAAGGGACCUUGGAGGCAAAA